CGCGGGAUAGCCGGCUGUCCGACCACCUGGUACUAGCGUUCCACUAGCGCGCGAAGCUAGGAAGGAGGGCAGGACUUCCUGGGAGCUAGCUGUUUCUUGGAGUUCCCGGAGCGGAAACCGCCGGCCCUCCCCCAGCUCCCUGGGUAGAUCCGUUCCCUGCAGUGGCUUCAGCAGCCACCCAGUCUCUCGGUCUCCCAGGAAACGACCUUCCUCUCGGGAAGUCGGCACGCCAGGGGAGCGUAGGUGGAGGAGACGGAAUGGGCACCGCGGGUGGACCUGGGCUCGGGCUCCACCCCUGACGGAACGUCCGCGUUGGACUCAUGAAUACUCUGCCCACGGUAGCAUCAGUUGCUCUUCCCAUCACAGAGGCCGUCUCGGGAUGCAGAUGGGGAAAGGCCUGGCUUUCACGUCACGAGCUGCGGGCUUUAUGCUUUCCGCAGGGGGCUUUGCCAGAUUUCUUGGGCCUGGGUAUCAUUAGGAGUCCCCCAGCCACCACAACUUUUUCUUUAGCAGGGGGGUUAGAUGGGAAGACUUAGCUACACUAGUGAUCAUUAGUACGCUUUAAAAGCACAGUGGCCUAAGAUUGUUGCAUACAACUGCAGAAGAAAACAGUUACGCAGAAAAAACAUACCCCUGCGUUUGCUGACAAUUAUCUGUGACAUUCAAUAUUUCACAUCAUAUCUAUUUCAAGAACCAUACAUGAAGCUCUAAGAAUUAUCCAGCCCGAGGUCACAAGGUGGCCACUCUUGUACUUCAUACAAGAUCAUUAACUCUGAGCAGCCAGCUUCCAUGUUGUGAACAACGCUAUGGAGAAGCCCAUAUGGAGGAGAACUCAGUGUUCCUGUCAAAAGCCAUGUGAUGAGCUUGGAAGUGAUACCCUACAGCCCAGCUAAGUCUUCAGAUGAUUGCAAAGCUGCUGACAUCUGGACUGCACACUCAUGAGAGACCAUGAGCCAGAACCACCCAGCUAAGCAGCUCUCAGAUUGCUACACCUCACUGUAGGAGCUAAUAAAUGUUUGUUUUGAGCCAUUAA